rnacentral:rRNA from 1 species
UACGGAGGGUGCAAGCGUUAUCCGGAUUCACUGGGUUUAAAGGGUGCGUAGGUGGGUCUGUAAGUCAGUGGUGAAAUCUCGGAGCUUAACUCCGAAACUGCAUUCGAUACUGCCGUGCUUGAGGACUGGAGAGGAGACUGGAAUUUACGGUGUAGCGGUGAAAUGCGUAGAUAUCGUAAGGAAGACCAGUGGCGAAGGCGGGUCUCUGGACAGUUCCUGACGCUGAGGCACGAAGGCCAGGGGAGCAAACGGG